CUCCAGGUGGCUGGGCCUCCAGAGCAGCUUCCUUUAGCCAUUGUCUUCUCCAGAGGCCCCAUGCUCCACGGCAACCCCAACCUUGGCCUCCAGCUUCUGUGAGCCCCCCCCCCCCCCACCAACCCUGACUCUGCUCCAUUGGCAGCAGCCACAGCCCUCACCCCCAAACAGCUCCACUCGCCCAAGCAGGCCUGAGCACCUCGCCCGGGCACACACACCCCGCAGCACAGAAGCUCUGCCUCCCGGAGCUGGUUUCCUCUUACAGGCUCCUGUCAGAGCUGUUGGGGCUGUGGCGGCGCUUGCCUGCGGCUCCCAGUGCAGCCCUGGGUCUCCCUGCAGCGUGUGCGGCAAGCUGUGAACCGGCCUUCUCUUCCCUUCCCGCAAAGGUCAAGCCAUCUCCUCCAGCAUGGCCGUGGUGCACUUCUGGCCGCAGAGCUCCUACGCUGCAGCCUGGGAGUCAGAAGCAAGCAAACCGUCCAGGACUGAGAAUUCAGAGGCCUCGGGUAUCAGGUCAGCGGCGGCGCCCCAAAGAGAGACCCCAAGAGAGGCCUUUCUUCCGCCGCAACCCCAGGGAGGCUACUGAGUUCUGCAAAGCCGCAGGAAGACUACAACAUCCCGAUGUGGAGAAAAAUGAGAGGAAACGCCAUUAAACUUGCUUCCUCCAAGGGGCACUACCCCCAGUUUUCUCUGAACUGUACCUAAAAAGUCAGGAGAGAGAACUCAUUCACUUUUGUUUGGUUUAACAUUGCCAGCUUCAAGUCAACCGUGGGCCCCCCGAAGGUUUCGUAAAAUAUUUAAUCUAGCUCAGACAAUUUCCUGCAGUCCCUAACCGGACCACCCCACUUACUGAACAACUGCCAAAAAGCAGGCUUGGCUGCGGGCUGGCAACCGCGGGCCUUCCAGCGGCCUGGCCGGCCUGUACCCUGCACGCAGGAGCCUGGACAAGGCCCUUCACAGAAUCCAGGGACACCAGGUCUGGGUUACCUGGGAGGCCCAAAGCGGUAAGGAAGGAAGAAGCCCAGGAAAUGAAGUUAAAGACACUUGCUUUUCUCACUAAGCUUGUGCUGUCUGUAUGACCCGCUGGCCCUCACCCUCCCCGAAGUCUGUGAAAUGGGCCUGUGGAUGUCUCACCUCUCUGGCGUGCUCUGCGUUUUGGAGAGCAGCACUGGGGGGGGGGGGGGACUCCCUGUGUGCCUCCCUGCGCCCUCUACUCUCAUCCCUUCGCUGUUUUCCUCCCAAACAUCUCACCAGGGAACCUAGCCAGCCAGAAAGGGAUCCUUCGACUGCGCUGAGCCUCAGCCCCUUCCAAACGUGAGGCUCACGGGGAGAACUCCUGCUCUGCCCAGUUUCCAUUCCUGCUUCCAGAAUAACGAGCCGAAAACAUGUGUACUGUAAAUAAAGCCUGUCUAAAUAAAGCACUCGGGUAAAGGCUGCCGAGAAAACA